rnacentral:rRNA from 1 species
AACAAGGUCUCCGUUGGUGAACCAGCGGAGGGAUCAUUAUCGAGUUAUUCAACUCCCAAACCCUAUGUGAACUUACCACUUGUUGCUUCGGCGCGCGCUUCGGCGCCGCCGAGGACACUUAAACUCUUUGUUUUUAUAAGCAUUUCUGAGUGGCCGAAAGGCAAAAAUACAAAUGAAUCAAAACUUUCAACAACGGAUCUCUUGGUUCUGGCAUCGAUGAAGAACGCAGCGAAAUGCGAUAAGUAAUGUGAAUUGCAGAAUUCAGUGAAUCAUCGAAUCUUUGAACGCACAUUGCGCCCGCCAGCAUUCUGGCGGGCAUGCCUGUUCGAGCGCCAUUUCAACCCUCGAGCCCGACUCUUUUGAGGACGGCUCGGCGUUGGGGGACGGCAGACUCCCCCCGGCAUCUCGCCGGGGACGCCGCCCCCGAAAUCUAGUGGCGGCCCUCCGAGGCGACCUCUGCGUAGUAACUUGUUCUCGCACCGGAAAGCUCAGAGCGGCCACGCCGUAAAACCCCAACUUUUUUCAGGUUGACCUCGAAUCAGGUAGGACUACCCGCUGAACUUAAGCAUAUCAAUA